GAUGAACGCUGGCGGCGUGCCUAAUACAUGCAAGUCGAGCGAACAGACGAGGAGCUUGCUCCUCUGACGUUAGCGGCGGACGGGUGAGUAACACGUGGAUAACCUACCUAUAAGACUGGGAUAACUUCGGGAAACCGGAGCUAAUACCGGAUAAUAUAUUGAACCGCAUGGUUCAAUAGUGAAAGACGGUUUUGCUGUCACUUAUAGAUGGAUCCGCGCCGCAUUAGCUAGUUGGUAAGGUAACGGCUUACCAAGGCAACGAUGCGUAGCCGACCUGAGAGGGUGAUCGGCCACACUGGAACUGAGACACGGUCCAGACUCCUACGGGAGGCAGCAGUAGGGAAUCUUCCGCAAUGGGCGAAAGCCUGACGGAGCAACGCCGAGUGAGUGAUGAAGGUCUUCGGAUCGUAAAACUCUGUUAUUAGGGAAGAACAAAUGUGUAAGUAACUAUGCACGUAUUGACGGUACCUAAUCAGAAAGCCACGGCUAACUACGUG
rnacentral:rRNA from 1 species